rnacentral:rRNA from 1 species
UACGGGGGGAGCAAGCGUUGUUCGGAUUUACUGGGCGUAAAGGGCGCGUAGGCGGCCAGCACAAGUCAGUUGUGAAAUCUCCGAGCUUAACUCGGAAAGGUCAACUGAUACUGUGCGGCUAGAGUGCAGAAGGGGCAACUGGAAUUCUUGGUGUAGCGGUGAAAUGCGCAGAUAUCAGGAGGAACACCAAUUGCGAAGGCAGCUCGCUGGGACGUAACUGACGCUGGAGACGCGAAAGCGUGGGAGCAAACAGG